UUCGUAGGCGGUGCGGCAAGUUGGGAGUGAAAUCUCUGGGCUUAACCCAGAGGCUGCUUUCAAAACUGCUGUGCUUGAGUGUGGGAGAGGCGCGUGGAAUUGCAGGUGUAGCGGUGAAAUGCGUAGAUAUCUGCAGGAACACCCGUGGCGAAAGCGGCGCGCUGGACCACAACUGACGCUGAGGAACAAAGCUAGGGGAGCAAACA
rnacentral:rRNA from 1 species